AGUGAACGCUGGCGGUAGGCCUAACACAUGCAAGUCGAACGGCAGCACAGUAAGAGCUUGCUCUUACGGGUGGCGAGUGGUGGACGGGUGAGGAAUACAUCGGAAUCUACUUUUUCGUGGGGGAUAACGUAGGGAAACUUACGCUGAUACCGCAUACGACCUACGGGUGAAAGCAGGGGAUCUUCGGACCUUGCGCGAUUGAAUGAGCCGAUGUCGGAUUAGCUAGUUGGCGGGGUAAAGGCCCACCAAGGCGACGAUCCGUAGCUGGUCUGAGAGGAUGAUCGGCCACACUGGAACUGAGACACGGUCCAGACUCCUACGGGAGGCAGCAGUGGGGAAUAUUGGACAAUGGGCGCAAGCCUGAUCCAGCCAUACCGCGUGGGUGAAGAAGGCCUUCGGGUUGUAAAGCCCUUUUGUUGGGAAAGAACAGCAGCAGGUUAAUACCACGCUGUUCUGACGGUACCCAAAGAAUAAGCACCGGCUAACUUCGUG
rnacentral:rRNA from 1 species